AGGCCUAUAGCCAGACAUUAGGGGGAAUCGCAUGAACAUGACGGGGUACCAUCACAGUCCGUUCGUGACACGUUGCCGAUCGUUCCGGAGAUUUCGCGUCCUGCGAAUAGCUAACGUUUAGUUAGUCAAGAGUGACUCGGGCGAUUGGCAAAGUAAAUCGCGGGCACGAGCCUCCGCGAAUGACGACUUGACGAUCCAGACUGCGAGGAUACCGAUGAGAAUGAUACGAAGAUGAACGUGCGACAUUGGUGUCUUAUUACUAGACACACAGAGACCAACGAGGAUACCUAUCUAUCUACCUGUCGCGAAUAAUUAUAUUCAUUUCAACUGAGAUAGAAAUACUGCUUAUGUAAUGUGAUUGUGAUGUCAAAGUCUCGAUUAUUGUGGAAAAAAACAUCAAGUGGUUACAUCAAGAGGAAGAAAUAUCAGUGAGAUGUAACGAGAUAUUAGUGAAUGACAUGCUUGUGCUGUACGCCGGGCGUGCGUCAUAUUAGAAUCACAGAGGCAGAUUAUCGCAUGCUAUUAUCGUUAGUUAUUAUAUAAAACGAAGUAGACGAAGUAUCAUCUUCCAUUAUUGUACAUAACUAUGCGCUUGCUGAAGUAAACAAGUAGAUUUAAAAUAAACAUGUAUCUAUAUUAUAGCAUAAAUAUAAUAUAUGUUAUAAAUAUAUAAUUAUAAUAUAUGUAUAUUUUAUAUAACCAUGUGUAUACAUCAUUAUAUAUUAUAAUUAUGUUAUAGAAAAAAUUAUAAAAAAUAAUUACAAAUGAAGAAACUACGUCUGUCCUAACGUAAUGUAUUUAAGAUUUAUAUAACUAUGCUUUGACUUGAAAAAAUUGCGGUUAUAGACACAUCA